UACGAAGGGGGCUAGCGUUGCUCGGAAUCACUGGGCGUAAAGCGCACGUAGGCGGCUUUUUAAGUCAGGGGUGAAAUCCCGGAGCUCAACUCCGGAACUGCCUUUGAUACUGGGAAGCUUGAGUCCGGGAGAGGUGAGUGGAACUCCGAGUGUAGAGGUGAAAUUCGUAGAUAUUCGGAAGAACACCAGUGGCGAAGGCGAGUCCCUGGACAACACCUGACACUGAGGCACGAAAGCUAGGGGAGCAAACAGG
rnacentral:rRNA from 1 species